rnacentral:rRNA from 1 species
UACGUAGGGGGCAAGCGUUGUCCGGAUUUAUUGGGCGUAAAGAGCGUGUAGGCGGCCAGAUAGGUCAGCUGUGAAAACUCGAGGCUCAACCUCGAGAUGUCGGCUGAAACCAUCUGGCUAGAGUCCGGAAGAGGAGAAUGGAAUUCCCGGUGUAGCGGUGAAAUGCGCAGAUAUCGGGAGGAACACCAGUAGCGAAGGCGGCACUCUGGGCCGGUACUGACGCUGAGGAGCGAAAGCGUGGGGAGCGAACAGG